ensembl:snRNA U6 U6 spliceosomal RNA
GUGCUCACUUUGGCAGUACAUGUACUAAAAUUGGAAUGAUACAGAGAUUAGCAUGGCCUCUGAGCAAGGAUGACACGCAAAUUGAUGAAGUAUUCCAUAUAAAA